CAGUCUUCUCAGGCUGUCUCCUCAAGCUCCCUCCUCAAAAUGAAGUUGCCUGUUAGGCUGUUGGUGCUGUUGUACUGGAUUCCUGCUUCCAGCAGUGAUGUUGUGAUGACCCAAACUCCACUCUCCCUGCCUGUCAGUCUUGGAGAUCAAGCCUCCAUCUCUUGCAGGUCUAGUCAGAGCCUUGUACAUAGUAAUGGAAACACCUAUUUGAGCUGGUACCUUCAGAAGCCAGGCCAGUCUCCACAGCUCCUUAUCUACAGGGUUUCCAUCCGAUUUUCUGGGGUCCCAGACAGGUUCAGUGGCAGUGGUUCAGUGACAGAUUUCACACUCAAGAUCAGCAGAGUGGAGGCUGAGGAUUUGGGAGUUUAUUACUGUUUCCAAGGUACACAUGCUCCUCCCACAGUGAUACAGACCCUAACAAAAACAUUCUUGCUAGGGGUGUCCCAGCUGCCACAUAUGUUAUUUGUUUGUAAGAGAGAGGUGCUGAGGAACACCAGAUUAUUGGUUGCAGCUGAGGGCAAAUGCAGCCUGUCUGCAGAUCACUGA